ACCUGCAUGGCUCAGUGGUAGAGCAUCUGCUUUGCAUGUCAGAAGCCAUCGAUUCAGUCUCCAAUAUGUCCUGUUAAAAAGGUCAGAUCGUAGGUG
rnacentral:tRNA from 1 species